ACGCGUACUAUUCUUCUUCUCAAAAGAACACGCGAACAAGCCCCAAAUUCCUUCCAAGUUCAUGGCGAGUGAGCAUCAAUCUUGAACCCACGCGUUCCCCCAUCCCUCCUCUCUCCGCUCUAACGGUUUCUGACACCAGAGAUUCCCUCUCCUCCCACUCGCCCGAUUUCGAACCAUUUCACGCGAUUGGAAAGCUCCGGAGAACGUUCGUUGGAUGAGCGUGAGGCAUUGGAUCGAUCUCACUGAAUCCAAGCCCCACAUUCAUCAGAGGUUCGUUUUCAAAGAGGGCCAAUUCCAAUCCGGUAGGGGGAUUUUUUUCGGGUAAGAUUUUUGGAAAAACAAAUUAAGGUUUGAAAAAUAGUCUUUCUUCUUCUUCUGGAUUGAGUUUUAGCUUUAGUUCGAGUCCAUAAAGAAAAAUAUAAAAAUUAUAUUUUUGGUUUUGGUUUUGAUCCGAGUCUCUUUCUUCUCCAUUUUUGGUUUUUUUUUGGAAAUUCAAAAUUUUCAGUCCUCACAUGAUGAGCAUGGUUUGAAUUUGAAGUGUGAGUUGAUUGUUCAGCGUUCUAUGUUGAGUUAAUGGAAGUCGACUGACCGCUGUUGGUUUCGAGUUGCUCCCAAGCUGUUCGCUUAGCUACUGAUUCGCGAGUUCAUUGUGAGCUAUGUUUGGACUCGCUUCUUCUGAGAAUCGUCUUAAUCCUUCAAUCGCAUUAAUCGAAAGUUUAUUUUCAAGUUCACUUCCAAACUCCC
rnacentral:lncRNA from 1 species